rnacentral:rRNA from 1 species
AGAGUUUGAUCCUGGCUCAGGAUGAACGCUAGCGGGAGGCCUAACACAUGCAAGCCGAGCGGUAUUGUUUCUUCGGAAAUGAGAGAGCGGCGUACGGGUGCGGAACACGUGUGCAACCUACCUUUAUCUGGAGGAUAGCCUUUUGAAAGGAAGAUUAAUACUCCAUAAUAUAUUGACUGGCAUCAGUUGAUAUUGAAAGCUCCGGCGGAUAAAGAUGGGCACGCGCAAGAUUAGCUAGUUGGUGAGGUAACGGCUCACCAAGGCGAUGAUCUUUAGGGGCCUGAGAGGGUGAUCCCCCACACUGGUACUGAGACACGGACCAGACUCCUACGGGAGGCAGCAGUGAGGAAUAUUGGUCAAUGGGUGCAAGCCUGAACCAGCCAUCCCGCGUGAAGGACGACUGCCCUAUGGGUUGUAAACUUCUUUUGUAUAGGGAUAAACCUACUCUCGUGAGGGUAGCUGAAGGUACUAUACGAAUAAGCACCGGCUAACUCCGUG